rnacentral:rRNA from 1 species
UACGAAGGGGGCUAGCGUUGUUCGGAAUUACUGGGCGUAAAGCGCGCGUAGGCGGGUUGUUAAGUCAGGUGUGAAAUCCCGGGGCUCAACCUCGGAACUGCAUUUGAAACUGGAUACCUAGAGUCAGGGAGAGGUUCGUGGAAUACCGAGUGUAGAGGUGAAAUUCGUAGAUAUUCGGUGGAACACCAGUGGCGAAGGCGACGAACUGGACCGGUACUGACGCUGAGGUGCGAAAGUGUGGGGAGCAAACAGG